rnacentral:rRNA from 1 species
GACGAACGCUGGCGGCGUGCCUAAUACAUGCAAGUCGAGCGGACAGAAGGGAGCUUGCUCCCGGAAGUUAGCGGCGGACGGGUGAGUAACACGUGGGCAACCUACCCUGUAGAUCGGGAUAACAUCGAGAAAUCGGUGCUAAUACCGGAUAAUCAUUUGAAGUGCAUGCUUCGAAUGUAAAAGAUGGCUCCGGCUAUCACUACGGGAUGGGCCCGCGGCGCAUUAGCUAGUUGGUAAGGGAAUGGCUUACCAAGGCAACGAUGCGUAGCCGACCUGAGAGGGUGAUCGGCCACACUGGGACUGAGACACGGCCCAGACUCCUACGGGGGGCAGCAGUAGGGAAUCUUCCGCAAUGGACGAAAGUCUGACGGAGCAACGCCGCGUGAGUGAUGAAGGUUUUCGGAUCGUAAAGCUCUGUUGUUAGGGAAGAACAAGUGCCGUUUGAAUAAGGCGGCACCUUGACGGUACCUAACCAGAAAGCCACGGCUAACUACGUGCCAGCCGCCGCGGUAAUAC